rnacentral:rRNA from 1 species
GUUUGAUCCUGGCUCAGAGCGAACGUUAGCGGCAGGCUUAACACAUGCAAGUCGAGCGAGAAAGGGGCUUCGGCUCCGAGUAAAAGCGGCGGACGGGUGCGUAACACGUGGAUAAUCUGCCUCGUGGCGGGGGACAACAGUCCGAAAGGACUGCUAAUACCGCAUGUCAGGUCGGAAACUCCGGUUUCUGACGAAAAAGAGGGCGUCCGCAAGGAGCUCUCACCACGAGAUGAGUCCGCGUCCCAUCAGCUAGUUGGCGGUGUAAUGGACCACCAAGGCUUAGACGGGUAGCUGGUCUGAGAGGAUGACCAGCCACACUGGGACUGAGACACGGCCCAGACUCCUACGGGAGGCAGCAGUGGGGAAUAUUGGACAAUGGGCGAAAGCCUGAUCCAGCCAUGCCGCGUGAGUGAUG